UCAUUUGUUCUUCACGUAAAAUCCAUUAAUGUCCAAAAUUUUUCCAUUCCUGUAAGGCUGUUCCUUUGCAAAACCAAGCCAAAGAAUUCCCAAAAAUCAAGAUUCCUAAAUCUUCACUUUGCCCCUGUCAGACGGACUCUCAGUGAUUGCCAACUCAUUGCCGGACGGACUCUCAGCGAUUGCUGUGAUUCACCGCCUCACGCCUAGGCUGCCUGGUUGCGGACUUGGGUUAGGUUUUAGGGUAAGUAAUUUACUAAUUAGAUUCUUAGAACAUGAAACAUUGUGCAAAGUUUUGGGACCAUUUGCACCAAUUUUCUAUUAAGUAUUAAAAUUGGAAUAUGAAAUACUAUAAUGUAUUUAUUCUAUUAAAAUUUUUAGAUUUAAUAAUCGUCUCUAUAACCACAUUUUAAUAAUUUGAAAUGAGAGUGCAAAUUAGAACUGAAACAAGCUAUUUAUGAAAACUUUGAUUCUUCCGGUCAAAGAAAAUUAUUUUUCUUUAGUUUCUUUCUAGGCAUGGUUAACAAUCAUAUACACAUUCAAAUCCAUCUUUUCAUUCUCAGCAAUCAGAAUUUACAUAGUUAAAUAUGAAGUUGGAAAGUGGAAAGUGUGGGGUAAUGCAGAGAAAGUUGCACAGAACUUGGUCUUGGUGCUUGCACUAAAGAUUCAUAUGGGGAACGAAUUAAAAUCUUUCAAUAUCUUUUCAGUUAAAUAUACUUGGUUUGUUGUAUUGUAUUUGUAUAUGAUAAAUAUUCGGUGAAUGGUGAUAAUAAGAAUGAAGAAGGGAAGAGGCAGAAAUAAAUUAAUGGAAUUUGUUCGAGAAUGAGAUGUUGGUCGUUGGAAUAAUUAAUUAUACUUGAAUAUUAAUUAUACUUGGUAUUUUGGGUAGUUAUUAUGAUUCUUGUUUGUCUUUUAAUUAUGUGGGAACUGGGAAGUGAAAUUUUUUUGUUGGCAUUUGGCAGUUGACACUCAUUCACUUGAUGGUGCUUAUAGUUGAAACGGAAUGAUUGCCCCUUGAAAGAAAAUUUGAGUUCUUUGCAUACCUAUUAAUGCAAUAUCAGAG
rnacentral:lncRNA from 1 species